ACCAAAAGUUACAGGAAGCAAGGUUUGGACUUGCAGGGAGGGUGAGGGACAGUUUCGAUACCCAUUUUUGUCAAGUAGUCGGUUACCAGGAUUGAAUUGUGGACAGGUGCAUUGUCCUGGAGCAGGUGCACUAGCCCUUUG